CUCGUCAUCUGUGGACAGUAAAAUAUACGUGACAUUAAACUUUUUUUUGUGCGAAAUAUGGGACGCUGUACAAGUGAGGAGGAUACAGCGAUACGCGAGACGCGCUCAAUACCGAAAGUAUGAUCCUGAAAAAGACACGUGGACUGAGAUGCCUGAUAUUAGCCUCUCACGUGGCUACUCAGAAGCAGUAGUGAUCGACGAUAUGAUCUUUGUCAUCGGUAAAUGUUUUGAAGUGGUCAACAGCUUCAGUUUCGGAUGUUUCGAUGACGUGAAAAAUGAAUGGUACCAGGCGACAGAAAGUAAUGUUUAUAGAUUUGGAAUGUCGAUUUGUGUCGUCAAGAAUCUACCGAAUGCAAAAGAUUACGCCUACAAACACAGGGACAAAUUAAAGGAGGGGAAACGUACGAAAUUGUUGGCUUUGAGAAUCUCAGUGGAAGCAAGCCUUUGAUUAAAACCUCGACGAACAAAUCAAUUUUAAUUAGGUGCCUCAAGAAAAUAAUGAAGAAAACGGGGAUUUGAUGUAAUAGCCAAGAAAACAAAUAAAGAGAAAUGUCUUUU